GACGAACGCUGGCGGCGUGCUUAACACAUGCCAGUCGAACGGAAAGGCCCUGCUUUUGUGGGGUGCUCGAGUGGCGAACGGGUGAGUAACACGUGAGUAACCUGCCCUUGACUUUGGGAUAACUUCAGGAAACUGGGGCUAAUACCGGAUAGGAGCUCCUGCUGCAUGGUGGGGGUUGGAAAGUUUCGGCGGUUGGGGAUGGACUCGCGGCUUAUCAGCUUGUUGGUGGGGUAGUGGCUUACCAAGGCUUUGACGGGUAGCCGGCCUGAGAGGGUGACCGGCCACAUUGGGACUGAGAGACGGACCAGACUCCUACGGGAGGCAGCAGUGGGGAAUAUUGCACAAUGGGCGGAAGCCUGAUGCAGCAACGCCGCGUGCGGGAUGACGGCCUUCGGGUUGUAAACCGCUUUCGCCUGUGACGAAGCGUGAGUGACGGUAAUGGGUAAAGAAGCACCGGCUAACUACGUG
rnacentral:rRNA from 1 species